rnacentral:tRNA from 1 species
GGGGUUGUGGCUCAGCGGUAGAGCACUCGCCUCGAACAUGUGAGGCCCUGGGUUCAAUCCGCAGCACCA